GGGAAAGAACAACAUUGUUGGGCACCAUGGACAGAGAAGGAGGAACAGCCAACUGGUGGGGAGUGGGGAGCAGCACCUAAGAGGAAGGAAGCCAUGGGAUUCAACAUCAUCUGCAAGCAAGAUUUGGUUUGCAGGAGUGGAGUAUGGGGUUCAGCACCAUCUGUAGAUUUCUGUGGAGAAGCAACAUAACUUGGAGGGCUACUACCUCCUGGAAGAUGCGGAGGGCUACCUUUUCCAGGAGGCAGAUGGUGGCUAUUACUUCUUUCCGUGUUUAAAGGGGAGGGAUUCUACUACCAUAGUGAAGAAAGCGAGUACUUUCAUGCUGGAG
rnacentral:rRNA from 1 species